CUGCCGGCGGCCACCGCUAUUGGAAUUCGAUUAAGACAUGCGUGUCGAGAGACGUAAGGUCUCGGCGGACCGCUGAGUAACACGCGGAUAACAUGCCCUAAGGUGGAGGAUAACCUCGGGAAACUGAGAAUAAUACUCCAUAGAUCUAGGAUGCUGGAACGCUUCUAGAUCCAAAACUCCGGUGCCUUAGGAUUGGUCUGCGGCGUAUCAGGUUGUAGUGGGUGUAACGGACCCACUAGCCUAUGACGCGUAUGGGCCUUGAGAGAGGAAGCCCACAGAUGGACUCUGAGACAUGAGUCCAGGCCCUACGGGGCGCAGCAGUCGCGAAAACUUCACAAUGGGAGAAAUCCCGAUGAGGGAAUUCCAAGUGCUAGCACUAUGUGUUAGCUGUUCUUUUGUCUAAAAAACAGAAGAAGUAAGGGCCGGGUAAGACGGGUGCCAGCCGCCGCGGUAAUACCCGCGGCCCGAGUGGUGGUCGAUAUUAUUGAGCCUAAAACGUCCGUAGCCGGUCUUGUAAAUCCUUGGGUAAAUCGGCCAGCUUAACUGUCCGAAGUCCGGGGAGACUGCAAGACUUGGGAUCGGGAGAGGUCAGAGGUACUUCUGGGGUAGGGGUAAAAUCCUGUAAUCCUGGAAGGACCACCGGUGGCGAAAGCGUCUGACUAGAACGAAUUCGACGGUGAGGGACGAAGCCCUGGGGCGCAAACGGGAUUAGAUACCCCGGUAGUCCAGGUGUAAACGCUGCGGGCUUGGUGUUGGGGGUCCUUUGUGGCCGCCCAGUGCCGGAGAGAG
rnacentral:rRNA from 1 species